AGGGCGGGACACGGACCGCGGCAGCCUGCGGCUCCGAAGCUCGGGGUGUCCGGGGUGCUGGGCCGCGGGGCCGAAGACCCCGAUCUGCAGCCUCUGCGAGGCCUCGUCCUUCACUGUACAGAUGCGAAGCUUUCAAGGACACGUCUGCACCGGCCCAGCGGGGCUUCGCCCCUUUGAGGGCAUAGGAACGGAGUUACCUAACUCUUUGAGACAUGGAGCCCAACUUUCGUCUGAGUGGUUUUCCUUCUGGAAGCUCCCUAAUGCUCCCAGAUCCUCCAGUCUUCCCCACUCUCCAGCCUCAAGGUCAGAGGCCACUCCACACAAUCGUCCUGGCCUUUUUCAGUGUCACCCUCACUCAAGUGGUCACCCCAUGCCACUGAUGACAGGCCCUGCUGCCCGUGGAUUCCACCUGUCCAGUUCCAGAGACUCGUGCUGUUUCUCCCAUGAGGACAAGAACCACAUCUGUAGCUUGGCACUUGGCGCCCAGUAGGUUCUCAAUAAACAUUUGUUGAAUGAAUGCA